GAUGAACGCUAGCUACAGGCUUAACACAUGCAAGUCGAGGGGCAGCAUGGUCUUAGCUUGCUAAGACUGAUGGCGACCGGCGCACGGGUGAGUAACACGUAUCCAACCUGCCGUCUACUCUUGGACAGCCUUCUGAAAGGAAGAUUAAUACAAGAUGGCAUCAUGAGUCCGCAUGUUCACAUGAUUAAAGGUAUUCCGGUAGACGAUGGGGAUGCGUUCCAUUAGAUAGUAGGCGGGGUAACGGCCCACCUAGUCUUCGAUGGAUAGGGGUUCUGAGAGGAAGAUCCCCCACAUUGGAACUGAGACACGGUCCAAACUCCUACGGGAGGCAGCAGUGAGGAAUAUUGGUCAAUGGGCGAGAGCCUGAACCAGCCAAGUAGCGUGAAGGAUGACUGCCCUAUGGGUUGUAAACUUCUUUUAUAAAGGAAUAAAGUCGGGUAUGCAUACCCGUUUGCAUGUACUUUAUGAAUAAGGAUCGGCUAACUCCGUGCCAGCAGCCGCGGUAAUACGGAGGAUCCGAGCGUUAUCCGGAUUUAUUGGGUUUAAAGGGAGCGUAGAUGGAUGUUUAAGUCAGUUGUGAAAAUUUGCGGCUCAACCGUAAAAUUGCAGUUGAUACUGGAUAUCUUGAGUGCAGUUGAGGCAGGCGGAAUUCGUGGUGUAGCGGUGAAAUGCUUAGAUAUCACGAAGAACUCCGAUUGCGAAGGCAGCCUGCUAAGCUGCAACUGACAUUGAGGCUCGAAAGUGUGGGUAUCAAACAGGAUUAGAUACCCUGGUAGUCCACACGGUAAACGAUGAAUACUCGCUGUUUGCGAUAUACGGCAAGCGGCCAAGCGAAAGCGUUAAGUAUUCCACCCUGGGGAGUACGCCGGCAACGGUGAAACUCAAAGGAAUUGACGGGGGCCCGCACAAGCGGAGGAACAUGUGGUUUAAUUCGAUGAUACGCGAGGAACCUUACCCGGGCUUAAAUUGCAGAUGAAUUACGGUGAAAGCCGUAAGCCGCAAGGCAUCUGUGAAGGUGCUGCAUGGUUGUCGUCAGCUCGUGCCGUGAGGUGCCGGCUUAAGUGCCAUAACGAGCGCAACCCUUGUUGUCAGUUACUAACAGGUUCCGCUGAGGACUCUGACAAGACUGCCAUCGUAAGAUGUGAGGAAGGUGGGGAUGACGUCAAAUCAGCACGGCCCUUACGUCCGGGGCUACACACGUGUUACAAUGGGGGGUACAGAGGGCCGCUACCACGCGAGUGGAUGCCAAUCCCCAAAACCUCUCUCAGUUCGGACUGGAGUCUGCAACCCGACUCCACGAAGCUGGAUUCGCUAGUAAUCGCGCAUCAGCCACGGCGCGGUGAAUACGUUCCCGGGCCUUGUACACACCGCCCGUCAAGCCAUGGGAGCCGGGGGUACCUGAAGUGCGUAACCGCGAGGAGCGCCCUAGGGUAAAACUGGUGACUGGGGCUAAGUCAUAACA
rnacentral:rRNA from 1 species